UUGAUGUAAUUAUGUUAUGUUCUCCCAUGCAUGAACUAUGGUUCCUUUAUUUAUGGUUUGUAUUAUGGUAAACCCGGUACUGUAUUGCCUUAUUUGGUGUCAAUUACUGGUUUACAUGUUUUGUAUGAUUGGAUGAUUAUGUUAUAAAGUGUAUAUGAUUUCAUGAUAUUGUAAGGUUAUUAUUUUCAGAUGUUGUUUUCAUGGAUCUCGCUAAGGUAAGUGGACAGUAAAGGAUUUUAUUAUUGAUAAAAGAACUUGUUAUAAAUUAU
rnacentral:lncRNA from 1 species